AAACGUUUAUGCCGUCACGACAGUUUUGAGUAAAGAAUAUUGCCACCUGCGUCCAGCACUGUGGCUAUUUCCAUGUCUGAGCCGUAUAACAUUCUUGGAGGAAAGCCCAGCCUUCUGUUUAUGUGUGGGUCAAGGAGCCUCUGACAGCCUCCAUGCUGGCUGCUGCUCUGCCCCAGGACCAGAAGCAGAUGCUGGGAGAGCGUCUGUACCACCUGUUCCAGGACAUCCAGCCCAGCCAGAUAUGACCAAGACGGGGAAGCCAGACUCGUACUGGAGAGACAUCUGCCAAAAAUAUGCCCAGGGCAGCUACCAGUUUUCCACAGGCAAAAGGCCCGGUGGAAAGAGCCCUGGAGUGUAUCGAUGCUUGCCCGCUGCAGAGCAAGAGCAAGGUGGAUCUGUUCGGGAGACACCUAAAAUGCUCUUGUGGGUUCCAUAAGGUAGCUCCACCACACCAUCUCCGUGGCCCACACCAUCUCCGCGGCCCACAGCAGUUUCCAGAGUUGGACAACGCUGAGAUUCUCCACCUGCAUGGCUCUGCAUACCAAGGUGGAUGAGGCGGUGGCUGUGUACAAGAUGUACCUGGCCAAAG